rnacentral:rRNA from 1 species
GACGAACGCUGGCGGCGCGCUUAACACAUGCAAGUCGAACGGAAGGCAGCAAUGCCUUUAGUGGCGGACGGGUGAGUAACGCGUGAGCAACCUGCCUUACAGAGGGGGAUAACAUUGGGAAACCAGUGCUAAUACCGCAUGAGACCACGGGAUCGAGUGAUUCAGGGGUCAAAGGAGCAAUCCGCUGUAAGAGGGGCUCGCGUCCCAUUAGCUAGUUGGCGGGGUAAAUGCCCACCAAGGCGACGAUGGGUAGCCGGACUGAGAGGUUGGCCGGCCACACUGGAACUGAGACACGGUCCAGACUCCUACGGGAGGCAGCAGUGGGGAAUAUUGGGCAAUGGGGGAAACCCUGACCCAGCGACGCCGCGUGAGGGAAGAAGGUCUUCGGAUUGUAAACCUCUGUCCCAUGGGAAGAAAGAAAUGACGGUACCAUGGGAGGAAGCCCCGGCUAACUACGUG